GCGAAUGUGGCGGAAUUGGUAGACGCACUGGAUUUAGGUUCCAGCGCCGCAAGGCGUGCGAGUUCGAGUCUCGCCUUUCGCACCA
rnacentral:tRNA from 2 species